ensembl:snRNA U7 U7 small nuclear RNA
GGAAAUUAGCUCUUUUAGUAUUUGUCUAGCAGGUUUUCUUUAAUAGAAAACCCAU